CCGUUUUACACAAGGUUUUGAUGAAGGUUU
rnacentral:piRNA from 1 species